UACAAACCACAACAUUAAUUCUUGUGUGGUCAGCUCAGUGCAUUUAUUACAUCGAUUAUAUAUCACAGUGUUGUUCCAGCACGUGACGGGAUGUGAGCCGCCACAGACCCGCCUGGUCGGCGGUGUUCGUCGCAGCGGUGUACUUCAGCUGCUGUAUCACCAAUGCUGAAGAUUUCAUAAGAAUUUACAAGACAUAUCGGUGCAUAUGGAGGGGGCAUGGUUUCAAUCGACGAAUGGGUUUGGUUACAUGAAAUUGCAGGAUUUCAGUUAACCCCUUUCAGUUUGUUAGCUUUUAAUCCCUUCUAUCACAAUGAAUUUUGAUUAUUUCAGGAUACAAAACCUAUCACAACUGAAUCAACAAAAACCGCGUUGUUGGUAUUUACCAUUAUUUACAAACGUGGUGUCUAUCACUCUCUUCAUGGAGAAGCACAUCCGUUAAAUAUUGUCUUGUAAUGUCAAGUGGCCUAUUGUAUUGCGUGGCACUGCUACAGCAAAAUACAAACCUCGACAAAUCGAAGUCACUGUAUAUUCUGAAUAAAGCGACACACGAUCGAUUUUCUUUCAUUGUUAGUGGUUGCGGUAGUAGUAAGGUGGUCUGAUCAUGUUUACGGAAAGGCAAGCUUCUUGUUGAAGAAAUGAAAGUGAAAUAUCACCGAUUCAGAUGAAAACUUGCGUCCCCCAUCAUAUAUAUAUAUACACACACACACACAUAUUUAUAUGGAGGGAGAAUUAAUUUAGUAACUGGAACAAAAUGAGUAACUUGUAAUUUCUCGUUAUUUUCUCCCCCCCCCCUGUUUGAAAUCCUUACAUCGCAAGUACCGAAUCAUUAUUCUAAACUGUUGCAUCAUCUUUUGGAGUAAAAAUUGGUCAACAUAAUUAUUGUUGAAGUUCAGAACGUCUGAAACAUAGUCAGGUGGUAGGUCCCCGUUUUUUGGAGUAAUUUUUCCUCAACUUUCAUCCGAUUGUAAUUGAGAUUACUAAUAAAAUAUCUGGAUAAUUUUUGGUGUUUAACAAUUAA